ensembl:lncRNA
CACCCUGACUCGAUUCUUCAGCAUUCAACACUUUCUUAAGAACUUGUGCUCAUGAAUAUCUAGCAAACUGGUGUAGUUGAGGAGCACUAACAACUCCCCCACCCCAAAACUCCACCCCACACUCAAAAUAAUUGUAGUGAUGUGGUGCUGCCAAACAUCAUGAUGCCUCAGCCUGUGUUUGUCCUGUCAGAGCCAAAAAAUGUCACCCUCCAUUAGUACAUGGAGGCUGCACAUCUCAGAGACACAAAACCCACAUGAGCACAACAUAAUCUACAAAAAUCCUGCAUGCUCCCUACAAGCAUCAUACUUCUUAAAGAUACAUUACACAACAGCUUGUAUUAUCAUCUCCUCUCUGAGAAGACAACCACAAUGAAAGAGCAGUUAUUGCUUUAGUAAUACACACCACUUAUAGACAGCUUCGGUGAUUCCCAGCAAAAACUCACACAUGAAUAAAGAAUGGAACCACACAAAACAGAUUAUUCUGGUGACCACUACCCAUAUGCAGGCAUGGUGUUUCCCAGGGAACAAUUUGCAGAGUGACAACAAAGGUGCUGCCAGGAAAACUGGAGGAGUAACAGGCUGCUACCUCCACAGCUUGCCUUAAAGAAGCUUUUGGGAAAGAGGAUCACAUGAGAAGCUCUGUCAAGCCCCGUAUAGACCUCAGAAGCUGAGCAGCUCUAGCCUCAGGACAUUGGACAAGGACACAGAGUAAGAGACUUGUGUGAAAAGAGUCUUUAAUCUGAAGCACUAUAGUCCAGUUUCUGGGAGAACAGCCUGUUAAAGGGAACCUCCAGACACCAAGCUUUCUUAGUAGCUACCAAAGUUAACCAUUGUUCCAAAACAUAAGGGACUGAAGUGUUUUAAAUGUGAGGUGAGCAGCUCUCUGAUGAUCUCCACUUGUCAACUGUCCAAAACAGAUCAAUAAUUGCAACUUUAUUCAUGCAAAGGGCAACAUUUCAUCUCACAUAGUAUGGGAAGAAAUGCUGUCUGCAUCUCCCCCCAAAUUUGUGAGACAGCUCUUCUAGGACUUUGCAUAGCUAAGGUUCUCCGGUACUUCUUUACCUACCACUGCCACUGACAUCAUCCAUGACACAGAGACAGCAGGACAUACUGGACUACUUAUACUAGAGAACGAGCUUUGAGAGGCCUAGGUUUAGCCUGCCUAGGUUUAAUUACAGACUACCAGACACAGGCAUCAGAAAGAUAGGAAAAGUUCAAGAAAGAAAGAUGAAGGACCUGCAGAAAAGAUGAAUGCCUGCUUUAAUUUAAACUGACACUGCAUUUCCAGAUCAUUUCAAUAAUCCAGAACACUGGAAGAGUUAUUUGAUUUGUAAGCAGCACUGAGCAGUUGAAAGGCUCAGUAAAGUGGUUCUAUAAGUACAGAGCAUAACCUAUGAAACCUUGGUUUAAUACAAGAUGCCACACACCAUGGUGUUACUUCAUAAGAAAUCAUCCCCGAACAUAGGUUAUAUACUCAAUGUGAAAAGAAGGUAUGAAACAUCGAAUGGGAUCAGGAAAUUUGAUCUCCCCACUCACACUCAGAAGACCAAUUAUUACAAGCCAUCGGGCAAAAUGGAGCCUAGAUGACAAGCAAGGCAGCUCUGAUCCCUUCAUCUUCUCCAGAUGAACCUGGCUUUGCAGUCACCCAGCCAGGCUAGUUCCUGCACUUUAGCCCUAGGGCACCCCAGACAAGUCUCUGUAGGGGCUGAAGGUCACACAAGAAAGUGACAGCAGUCUAUAUGGGUACCUUCUAGCUUAAGAAUAAAACAAAUCUAACUUAAUGGAAAGAAAGACAUUGACUGCAAAGGGGCAAACUGGGAACAGGGAUGUUUCCAAGUUCCCAACAAUUUCUAGAGUUUGGGGGAAAAAAAAAAGUAAAUUUGAUCUAUUUUUUUUUACCCCCAUGUAAGAGGAAAGUACAGCUCACUGACUGAAUUGCAAAGCAUAAUGUUGAAUGUAAGUAAGCAUCCAUGUAGACAAACUCAUUUUUACAUAAUUAUGAAAUCAAGGAGUUAAAGAACAUACAAUGUAAGCCUGUUCUCUUAAUUCUCAUUCAGCAUAAUCAUAUCUAAAGCUCAGAUACUCUCUACAAGAAGAGAGUAUCUCCAAUCAAGCCUGGUAUUCCCACAAACUCUUGACUGCAUAAACAAAUAACAAACAGUAAAGGCAAAAAAUAAUGUGAAUGUAAGGUCACACUUCUCUAAGAACACAGAAAGUCGGUGCAUGGAUCACAGUUACCCUCACAAAGGUUUUAGGUCACUGAAGAAAUUGUUUCACAUGUGCCUUGUAAUGGUACAGCAAACAAGAACACUCAACAGAAAUAAACUUGCCAGUCUUUAUUCUUCAAUGCAUGCUGAGGUCAAUACUAUGAAACAGACAUUGGAACUGAGUCCAGAAGAUGCCACAAAAAUUGGAGAAGACAUACUGAAAGCCUAUGUGAUUUAAGGGAUAAAGACCAAGUCUCUUCAAGUGUCUGUAUAAAUAUGUAUAAAUGAUCAAUAAGGGCAAGCAACUGCUAAAGCACAGUAGGAAACAAAGAGAUGGAUUCUCUGUCAUCCUCUUAAUUUUUUGAAGAUAUUGAGCACUGCAGAAUCAUCACAGAGCAAGUUUUGCGUCCUGUGGUAUGCUGAUGGGUUUUAAAAGAGCAUACAGACAUUUCUGACCUUGAAAACAAGAUUCUGAGGGCUGUCUCAGGUUUUUAGCUGAACACUGAAAUCAAAAGAAAAUAUUUAACAUUUAAAACAAAUCAUAUAUUUCCUAUUAAAAAGAAACCACUUUUCAAGACAAAACAUUAAGACUGGGAAAGCACAAGCAUUUCCAAAUGCCAGGUUACGGUGAUAAAAUUUCUUAGAAAUAAUUUAAUUUUCUAUGAAAUAUUUUGUGCUCAUUCUGUAAUUGGGGAAAAUUCAUGUGAAGAUCAGUCUCACCUCCUACCAAUUAUGACCAAAAUAUUGCCUUUUACUUCCCAUCAGUGACACACAAGCACUGGCAUUUUUAUUUCAAAAUUUGUAUGUGAGGACAAAAUGAACAUAUUAGUAAAAGGUUGUGGUUAGUUAGGUAAACUCCCCGUGGUAAAUUUAGUUAUUUCCUGAUCUCACAACUUAGUAAGACAGGAAAGUCUUUUGCCAGUCUCUGCCUUCUCAAUAUAUGGCAACUCAUUUCAAACCAAAAAGAGAUACAAAAAGCUCCCCUCUUGCAAUGAAGUAAUUAAUCACUGUCUGUUAACAUUCUUUCCUACUCUUGUAUCAUUUUUAAAGGAAUUCCCCAAGUCUUUUUUCUUUACCUAGACUUUGGGUAUAGCAUUAAGCAAAUUAUUAAUAUUAAAUAAACAAUUUAAUUCUCAGCCUCACAAAAUAAUGCUUCUCUGCAAAUCUUCAUGAACUUCCACACCACCCUCAGUCCUCUCCCCCAGCAUACGUGGAAAAAUUAACACAAAAUGAAAAUACAAAACAAAAAAUGAAAACAUAUAUGGAAAUGUAGAAAAAAAAGUAUGUAAAAGAAUACCGAAGUUGCAAAGUGCAAAUAUUAAACCCACUCAGACUGAAAACUGAAAAAUGCUGUGAAGUUAAUCAGCCUAUCAUUUGGGUUUCUGUGGGAAUUAAAUGGGAUACAAAUAACAUGAGAAGUGUUACAAACGUGAUCCUGGAAUUCAGCUUUAAAAAACGCAGACAAACAGAUCUAAGAUAAACUUUCUGAAUUAGCAAACCAAGAGAAUGUAAAGGAGCACCCCGCAAAUGCUACAUGCAUUGUUCAGUAUUUCUUAUUCUACAGUACGCAAUUUCAAAGCUGAGAUACUAAUUUAUACUAAAAUUCUCAGAACUUACGCAUUGUGAAAGACUAUAUAACCUUAGUAUCAUCAAACCACUGAUACAGUAGUAGCCUGAAAGCAGACAGUAUGAAGGGAUGAGUAAGAUGGUCUCUGAGAUCUCAAUGGUAGCUCUGUUUCAGUAGCAUUCUCAACUUUUUCCAGAGCUAGAAUGAGGAUGGAGAUACGCUAUGAGAAUGGACCUACAUUAAAAUGAGCUCACUAGCAACAGGUUUGUAACAGUACCACACAAUAUUUUAGCCCCGUACCAUCUUCAGGAGACUGUUGAAUACAGGUUAGACAGAAAUACAGAUUUUGGCACGUCAAAGCAAGGUGGAUUUUUCAGCACUACAAUAAAAGGUAAUUUCUACGUUAUGAAGCCUAUGACAUCAGCUACCACCUACUUGCAGAGCAAAUAUAUGACAGUCACACUGAAAAAACUGCUAAACACAUGGGGUUCUUCAAUUUCCAGUAGUGACUACAAACUGAAACACAACUCAAGCACUAAAAUGCUUGUAGCCUGUGUUUUGUAUAAAGUACACACAGUUCGAGCCGACAUAAAUACAUACACUCUACAAACCAAUAAAAAGUCAUAAUUCUCAAGCAUUCAUUUUAUUUCUCCUCUCCUGAUACAUCUAACUUCCAUGGGUAGGGAAGUUCUUCUUCACCAGUGACCAUAAAAACCAGUUUUGCUGCAGCUUUAAGAACUAGAAAGCUGCCUGUGCUCUUCAUUUACAGGAAUGUGGAAACAAUAUAUGGGAUUAAUUCGGCUGGCAUCAUCUACAGAUGAUGCUUUCUCUGGAGUGCAAUUCAGAAAAAAAAAGCCUAACUUGGAAACUCAGAAUUGACCUAGAAACCCCAAUAAUUUUCCAUUAGCCAGAGAGGAAACACAGUCAGUGUUCCUGACUUACGUUAGUGGAAUCAAUUUUUUAGAGGAGGAUAAUAAUGAACACUUCAGUAAAACCACCUGGAGAGAGACUGAACCUUGGUAGCAACAAAAAAAAAAAAAAAGAGAGAGAGAGAGAAAGAAAAAAGAGUAAUUCAUUUAUUGAAAUAAAGAAGAGAAGCUUCCUCAUAAUAGUCUUGGAAUAAUACAUGCUGGCAAUGGAAAAGGUAAAAGAAUAUUUGAGACUAGAGUAGGCAAGAGAAAUACCUACAAACUUCAACGCUAACACAGCAGCAUUUCAUUCAUGACAUAACCAAGAAAAGACAGAACUAUCACCCAAGGAAAGUCCUGUUCUACUUAAAAAAACAUUCAGACUAAGAGAUGAAACUUUCUACCGGUUCUGUAUGAAACCGAAACAAAACAAACAAACUUAAAGGGUGAAAAUCCAUAGCAUUUUCUGAAUAAAAUAUUCCCUAGUUCGAAUUUGGACAAUUAGAUGGACAUAUUUUGACAGAGCGUGACCACUGCGGAAUAACAGGGAAAAAAAACAACCCAGGAGAGCAGCUAACAGAUUUCAGAUGAAAAACUGGAAUCAUAUAUUAAGACUCACUUCACAAAACUUUUAAAGCAACAUUUUUCAUAUCCCAGUAUUUGGUCAUCGUACCUUGCCUGGUUCAUCUUUUCCAUUUUGAUUGUACUCCCUAGGCCUUUUGAUCAAUUUGUGCCGCAAUCUCAGACUGCAUAAACUGUGAAGAACCUAAUGAACAUGAAAUGUGUGGAGGUAAAGAGAACCACACCUACCAUUGGACCUCUACUGCUACCAUCAACAUUUUUGCCUGAGUACCAGCAACCAUCAAGAUACCUAACGUUUGUGCAUUUGAUAACGGCUACAUGUUUUUCUUUCUUAAACUGCAUUAUUUAAACCAUAACAUUUCCAAAAAGCCUCACAGCUAAGUUUUAUUUAAUUCUAACUCCCUAAGAAUUUUUCAGCUUCACAGCUUUGUAUCAUCCAUAGGCUUGAUCAGCUCUUCACUAUAUUCCAAGGUAUUACAUAAUUAAUGAGAAGUAAAUCAAAAGGAAAUUUCUAUGAGAUGCAACUUUUUUUCCUAACUUCAAUCAUUAAAAUGAAAUCAAAGUAAUUACUGAACCAGUCAUAAUUCAUGAAUAGCUCAGUAAAGUAUUUAAGCAAUUAAGUAAGCAGUCCAUUUGGCUUCAAAUUCAUAUGAGCUUUCUAAGAUUUGCUGAAUCAAGGACCUAACAGCUUCUUGGAAUGACUGCUACCUACUAAAUAUUUCCAAAUUCUUUAGUAAGUACCACUACCACUCUCCUCCAUGCCCCAGUUCUAUAAAUGCAAAGCAAUCCUUUUUCAGGUUGAAGUUUUUCAGGGUCUGCUUGUGACAAAACCAAACAACAACAGAAAAACGAAAAAAGGAGAUGGUUCAAAUUAAAAAAAAAAAAAAAGCCUAUUUUCACUGAAAAACAUUGUGAAAGAUUCACAAGAUCUUUCUGCAAGAAAUUCAUGACAUUAUUUUUUGGCUCCAUAGGACAAUACUGAAGCUCAAACUUGAAAGUUAGAAUUUUAAAUAGAAGAAUCUCUCAAUAGCAGAGCUGUGGUUUCCAUCCAAAAGAAACUGGUCCUGAUUUAACAAGUUUAAGAGCUCUGGAAACAAAACAUGAUAGAGCAAAUGAAAUAGAACUCUUUACAGAAACCACCAGGACUUCAAACCCUGAAGAGUCUUAUUUACAUGCUUAUCUUCUUUCACGUUAAUCAUGAUGUCCCACUUAACUUUAUGUGAGAAGUGAAUACCUCUAUGAUGGAAUUCACAAACUUUUGCAUGUUGGAGUCUAAGUAUGUAGCUAAAAAGUGACAUUUGGAAGAGUUCCAAAAAACACCUCUGACUUUAUACCAACGAGACGAGAUCUCCUCUCAACCGCUCAGCAAUUCAAAUAACUACUUUGAAUUCACAAAAUUACAUCUAAGUAGCAAUUUUUCUUUUUGUAAUGUUCACAUACAGACCAGAUUCAAAUAAAAAGGGAGUUUAUGGUUCUGGUUUUGGUCUCUACAUCCUCAGCAGCCAUAAUCUCUAGUGAUAAUGUAAAAAAAAAAAAUUGAAAAAUACUCCUGCAAUUGUGGCAGAAACAGACAUGGAUUUGCACAAGAUCAUAUGGACAACGUUCAGCAGAUCUCGCAUUAUAGCUGGACACAGCUGUGGAUUACUGACAGCCUUGUGAAGUUAAAGUUAGGAACCAUAUGUCUGAUGAAACAGGAUGAGAAAACAUACUACCCCUGCACAGCUGCUGUCCCUGGGUACUGCACUUCCUUGACAGCCCACCUUACUGGCAUCGGUCCCAACACAGGAUGAAAGAGAAAUCUCCACUAAGACAUGCACUACUGUCCCUAAUUGAUGGCAGGUUGAUCCCCAACCAAUGGAAGCCAGAGUCACAGAGUUGAUAGAUGGUUUCCUUAUCUAAGUAAUGAGAAGAGCUAGGCAUCAGAAGAACAAUCUAAAAUGUCCAUGCAAAGCUGGAAACAAUCUAGGUCUAAGUGCCUAAAAACCAACCUCAAAUCUCAUCAUAGCUUUGACCCAGUACUAUAGUCUAGGGCCUUACUCCUGCCUGUCAUCCAGAACCCAAAACCACCUCCAGUUGCAGCAAGGAGGAUGGUGGUCUAUCUUCUCUGGUGAUGAGAGAUAAGACACAAGGAGACAUGCUCAAGAUGUGCCAGGGGAAGUUUAGACUGGAUAUCAGAAAGAAUUUCCUCAUGUAGGGAAACACAGACUGGCUUGAAUUGGAAAGAACCAUAAAGGACCUCACCUAGACCUGUCCCCCCAUGCUGUGGGCAGGGCUGUGAUCUAUCAGCUCAGAAUGCUCAGGGCCCCAUCCAAACUGGUCUUGAGCACCUCCAGGGAUGGGGCAUCCAGGGCUUCUCUGGGCAAUUUGUUCCAGUACCUCACCACCUUCUGAGUAAAAAUUUCCUCCUACUGUCUAAUCUAGAGAGAGGUGGCUAAGUGUUGGAGUGCGCUGCCCAGGGAAAUGGUAGAGUCCCCAUCCUGGAAGAUAUUUAAGAGAUGUGUAGGUAUGGCACUAAGAGAUACAGUUUAGUGGUAGGACUCUGUAGGUCAGGCUGAUGGUUGGGACUGAUGAUCUUGAAGGUCUUUUCCAACUUAAAUGGCUCUAUGAAUUGUACCUGUAUUCAUUGCUCCCACAGAUGAGCUAAACUCUCUUCAACUGGUCUGAAGGGAAAAAUGGGGAAGUAACUCAGCUGCUUCCCUGAUAGAACAACCUCUUGCCAGCAGCACAGUCACAAAAUAAGCCAACAUCUUUACCUAUGGUAACCUGCUCUUCUAGUUACCAUCUGUGGGUCAACAACCUUGUCUUUCAUACGCUCAACAGAAGCUGUACAGCAAAGAACUGGAUCACAGAAAAGUGAGAGCAAGUGUAGCCAUUACUGACCUCUUGGCUACAGCACUAAUACAGAGAAAUCAGAAGGUUCUUUUGUCUGCAGGUUUUUCCAGCAGUCUGUUCACAGGGUCAUUCUGUAUUAAACCAAGCGUGCAAGGGAAUUUGUAAGUUACUUAUAUGUAGUCUGAGAGAUCAGGAAGCAUUCAACAGAACAAUCCUGUUCAAAAGCAUCUUAACUGUACUCCACAGGCACUUUCACCUUUACAAAUUCCUAAUUUGAUAUGCAAAUGCCCACAUCAGAAAGUAACUGCAAUGACAUUGGUAAAGAAGUUGCCAGUACUGGCUUGGUCUCUGUUAUCAAUCAUACGCUCAUUUAUUUUGUGAGGUAAAAUAUGUUGAACCAAACAACCCUCAUAAGGCAUUUCUCACCAGAAAACUGAUGCAGCACAUUACCACUUUAGUUAGCCCAACCUUUUCUCACUGAACACGUGAAAUAAAAACAUCUUUGAACUUUCUAAAGUGGCCAGAUUUGAGUUAAUGUUAUGUCUACAUCUUUCAUACACUACUAAAUAUUCACUGGAAUAGAAGUUACCUGUGGGUAGAGAGAAGGAAAGAGGGAGAUGACAUUUAAAAGUUUCAGGAAACAAUGAGAUAAGUCAAAAUAAACAAUAAAGUAUAAUAUGUGGGCAUCUGGAUGAUGAUUAACAGUAAAACCACAAAGUAGGGCUGGGGGAAAAAGCAGAGAAAAAAAAUGUAAGAGAAGGCACAUCUAAAAGGACAAAAAGUGAUCUGCAAUAAUUUCAUCCCCUUAAACUUGCAGACUUGCAUUUCAGGAACCAGCAAGACGCAAGGCUGCAUAAGAUGAUGUCAGAAGUACAUCUAUCCCCAGCCACAGGGUUCAGCAGAGACCUGAUAAGCAGUUGUUUAGUUUUGCUUUGGGCUCUGGCUUCCAUUUUAUCUACAGUUUCCUAAGAGUUUACAGCUUCAUUUGUGAGCAACACAGUCUUUGUAUAACUGAAAUCUGAGUCAAGGACAGCAUGUGACUUUCAUUUUGACUUCAGAAUUAUUUUUAUUAUAGAGCGCACAACCACUUCAACUAUCACGAACAGCAAGAACUAUCCAGAUGAAAACUAACAAAUACAAUCAACUAUUUGAAAAGCAUUAAGGUAUAACUGCAGAGCCAAGCACCAUCCCCAAAACAAAAAAAGGAGAAAGAAUAAAAAGAAAAAAAGUAGAAAAACAUGAAGCCUAGCUGACAUUUAAAAGAAAAGAAUAAAGGUUUAGUGCAUAUGCAGAUGUUUCACCAUACUGAAUGAUGCAGCAUUCUCAGUCAUCUCAGAGGAGUUUGCAUCAGAAAAAUCCAACUGGAGUAGCUUCCAAAGAGCUGAUUUCAUGCAAUAAAAGAUGCACAGAAGUAUCUACUUCCUGAGAUAACAUUGGGAUCACGGGGAUGAAUCACAAGGUCAGAAAGGACCUACAAAAUCAUCUAGUCCAACUGGCCUCCCAUUACCACUACUACCACAAGCCACUAAACCAUAUCUUGUAGCUCCUCAGCCAGACACCUCUUGAACACUGCAAGGGAUGGUGACUCCACCACCUCCCUGGGCAGGCCAUUCCAGUGCCUACUGGAAUAAAUACUACUUGAGAGGUGAGCUUGGCUGGUGUGUUCUCUUAUCUGCUUAAGACCGUGCCUUACAUUUUAAAGUACAGUUUUAAAUUAUUUGGAAGUCUAACUCCCAGAGUACAGCACUAAUAAAAAUCUGUUUUAGGAUGUCUGGUCUUACUGCUGCACAAAUUCUCUUUUAAUGUCAGACUGCCACUGGUUCAGCAUCAUUACUUUAUUGCAUAAAUCAACAAAGAGAGGCAGAACUAAGAUUUUUUCUUAUAUUUUAUUUGUUUUGCAUCAUAUUCCGCUAUAGGAAAUCAAAAUAAACGUUAAAAAAAAAAAAAAGACAGUUUGAAGUAUGCUUUGCUACUGUUAAAUAGAUAGAAAACUCCUAACUAGUGUUCAAGGAGAUAAUGAGAAAACUGAUUCUUCUCCCAUUGUUGAGAAACAAGAGUGUAUUAGGGUGUUUAAUGGGAUGCAUAACUAACCCCUUUAUCCAAAUAUGCUUUAUUACCCAGCAUUGGUAGUUCAAAAAAACUUCAUAUAAUCUCUCUGUGGGAUUUAAUCUGUUUGUUCCAUAAAAAUCUCUGAUUUUACUUUUCUUUUUUUAAGUCAUUUAUUCUUAUUUUUAACAUGGCUCAACCCUGUCAUGCAAGUAUAGAAAACAGCAGGACAACCUGAAUUUUAGGAAGUCUGAAAUAACCUUUUCUUCACUAAAGCUUUAAAAAUGGGCUUAGCUACUAUUGUCUUCCUAUGUAUUUUUAUUCUAGUAUCACUGGAAAAGAAAAAUGACCUACUAAAACAGCUAGAAAAAUUAGGUCUUGUGCUAACACACAGAAUAGCUGUAUGUAAAGGGAAACUUGAACUCAGUGAGACCAACAGUCUGCAUCUCCCUUGUUGAACUAUGGCCCAUGUGGACAGAGAAAAGCUCCUCUAGAGGAUAACGCAGAAUAGAAAAUGGCUUUGGGUGCCCCAUACCACCUACUGAAGAUGCUGUUUUGUUGUGACUGCCCACAGGAACCCAAAACAACCAAUCUUCCUUGGCUAAAGUCAGCCUUUGAAUAUACUCCAACACUCAUUCCCUAACUCCUUACAGCUCGUAGUACUCUGCUGGUUGUUCUUACAUAAGCUCAAAGGGCACAGCACUGGGAGACUUUUCUUCCCAGACUCAUCGUGUUAUUCUUUUUCCCCUAGUUCCAUUUGUCAUUUGAGUUGCAUGACUCAGUAAUUCCUCUGUAACUCCUACAUUCUUUUAAAAUUUAAAUGCAAUUUUCACAUUUAACAGUCAAGUUAUCCUUUGUUCUUAAUAACCUAUUUUCUCCAAGUCCUUAUUCACUGCAAUGUACCUUUAGCCCUUGAAUGUUUGGAUAAGGCAAAAACUUCGAUGUAAUCUCACCCUCUUAAUAGGAAAUGGGAAUUUAUCUUUCAUAUUUACCCCGUCCCCGGGGACUUCCAAGGUGAGGCUAAAUAAGGCCCUAGGCAACCUGAUCUAGCUGUGGUUUCUCUGUUCAUUGCAGGGGAGUUGGACUAGAUGGCCUUCAGAGGUCCCUUCCAACUCUAAAGAUUCUAUGAUUCUAUAUUUAUGAUUCAAAAAAUGUAUUUUUCCUUUUAAUAUAUAGAUAAGCAUUUUAUUAUGUAGGUAAACCUGCUUCCAGUUCUUCCAACUUAAACUUUAUUUUUCACAGUUAGGUUUUUAAUUCACUUGAUCUGAAGAUAAACUUCAAUAAGCACUCAGUAUACUUUAGGCAAGCACUGAAUAUUGGCACCUCAGAACAGAGGUAUUACAUUCAUCGUAUGGGCACUAAACUUGAAGUAUCAAUUUGGUACAAUGAGGACUAGUAGUCUUAAAAGAAAAGCAGUUAAGAAGUUAUUAGGCCCAAUAAAAUAAAGAAAAUGUCCCCAGUGUAUCAGGAGUGGCAUACAGUCAGUGUUUUCUUCAAGGGACUGCUAUCAGUCUUCGUUUUACAUACUAACCACCGUAUUCAGUCAAACCAAAGAUACACCUAUCCCCUACAUUGCAUCUUUCACAGAGGUUGGGAACAUAGGUCCAGGGAAACGCAUUCAAACAGGAAAAGCACCUCAGGAUCCUCCCUGCUCUCAAGAAACUGCGGCUUGCGCUCUUUUAAGCACAAAAUGGUGCUUUUGCACUGGAUGCCCAAAUUCAUCUGAACUUCUAGUGGUUCACAGUUAAACUACUCACUGCAAGAAAAAUACAACCUCUUGUUUUGUUCUCAAUCUGCCAAUUGAUAAUUUUAUUUUAUCCCCUCUGGGUCUCAUACUACAGGAGAUGGUUAAUGAGUAUACCCUACUCAUCUUUUCCAUUACACUCCUAUAUAAAUGUUUAUCAUUUUCACCUUCAGCUGUUUCUUUGUCAAGCUGAAUAUUACUAAGCUAUUUAAUGGCUCCUUAUCAUCAUGCCAGCCAUUUCUACUUUUACUACGAAGCCCCUUUUUUUCUCCCCUUUCUUUAAAUACAGGGGAUCAGAACUGCAUGCAGAGGUCAAGAUAAAGCACAGGGUUUACAGACUGGCAAAGCAGUUUUAUGUUCUGUCACUCUGCUAUUCUCCCAUAGUAACUUAGAAAAGAAAAAAACAGUUCUGAAUAAUUACUUGGUGCUUGGAUUUACUGAGGCAAGCUCUCUACUCUUCUCCUACUAUUACUUCUUUAGUAGAUAAUAGUAGGAUUGCUGUCCUCUGCAUACAUUACUUCAUCCUACCAGUAUCAGCUUCAUCUACUGCUUCAUCCCUAGUUACCAAGUACCACAAGAUCCCUACUUGGUUCUUCAUAAUUGACUUUUAUUUUUGCUGUCUUCGCUAUGAGACCGUAUCAUUUAUUUCUAGUCUAUUUUUCAACUAGUUGUAAGUCUAGGAGAGGACUUUCCUCUUAUGUCAUAGCAGUUUCAUUUUGCUAAGCACCAUAGGUGAGUCUUUCUCAAAAAAACUUUUGGAAACCCAAGCUUACAGCAUCAGCUAGAUCACGCUUACUCACAAUGUCAGUGUUUUCGGAGAACCCAGACUGAUGAGGCAGCUCUACAAAGACAGUGCUGACUCUUUCCUGAUAGAACAAAUUUGCCCAUGGAUCCACUACGUCUCUUCUUCGUUAUAAUCAGCAGCAAAUUAGAUGGUAUGAACGUCAUACUUGUCCUGUUCUUUCCUGUAAGUUUCCUGGUAGCCUUCUUAAAAACAGACAUCACAUUUGCUGACCUCAGCUUCACUGGUACCAAAGCAAUACUGUGAGACUAAACAUCGCAGUCACCAGUUCAGCAUUUUACACUGGGAGAUAUACAGAUCUUUGGCAAAUUCAGUGCCCCAGCACAGCAAAUAUGAACAACUCACAUCAGUAACUCUGAUGCAGUGCAAUCUUCUUUGAGCGCUACAAAUCUCAGUCAUCUAUUGGCUCAAUGGCUCUUUCCUUUCCAAUGUUUUUAAAGAUGACUUCUGACAAGCUUCUUGACGUUUUAUAAAUCACAUAGACUUUCACUGCUUUUACUGUGCAUUUUGUUCUGAAUUCAGCCAAGUUUCACAUGUAUUACUUUUCUUGGAGGAGGCAAUGGCAGAAAUGACCAGACAACACAAGUUUUUGAAGGAUAUACAUUUCUUAUAGCCUAUUCUGCAGCUUAUCCAAGCUAAUUUUUUUUUUGUUUGUAAUUUUUUAAAGAGUCAGAGAAGAAGUUGCUACAGGAUAUUUACUUGUUCUGGAUCUCUGAUCAAUGACUUUUUUAAAUUGGCUGCAAGCAUCUUAUUCUUUUGGUUUGUCCUCUUACCAGGCUUUUUCAGACAUCCUAACGUGCAUUCUGCUAGCUUAUCUCUUGUACAUCUAUACCAUCAAUAACUUGCUUCAAAAAAUAAAAUGGAGAGACUAAAUACCUGGUUCUAGACUUCUAGGUGCUGCAUAGCAACUCUUCUAUUUUAAUCUGAUCAUCCCUCCUUCCAGACUCCUCUCUAUAUGAGACUGAAUUUGUUCAAGCACUUCUACACUGUUUCCUACAUCAUUCUUUGUCAACUUGUGUCCUACAUGUAGCAAUGUUAAGGACUUCCAGACCCAGAGGCUGCAUCUUCUUGACCCAUACGCUCUUUCCACUCAUCCUCAUGUAAGGUACUGAGAUAGUCUAGUCUUCUCUUGAUGUCAACCAGUUUGGCAUGCAGUUGGAAAGUUAUGAUGUGCUCCCUUCCAGCAUCAUAAAUCCACUUGCACUUCACUUAAGUGCACCUUCUUACCACAACAGGAAAUAUCCUACUAUCACUGAGGAUCAACACCAUGGAAGGACAUUCUUGAGAAAAAAGAAACCUGGCCAACACCUGAGAGAAAGAUCUCAUCUACAAAAUAUAAUUUCAGGAUCAUUUCUUCUUUAAAAUUUUGAUAUCCUUCUACAUUAAGAUACACUUGUAUAACAAGCCCAGAGGCAUCCAACCUAGAGAUAGCUGUAGGACUACAUGCCUGGAGCUUUAUUUCACACAUUUGCAAGCUAAGGAUACUUACUGUAUACAUGUUGUGACUUUCACAAGAGCCUCCUUAAGUUAUAAUAGCCUACAAUGGUGUCUUCCAGUGCUGUAACUAUAUCUUUGGUUUAACAGGUACUAACACCAAGAUUAAUAAAAUGCUACCCUUUUCUAACUGGAGAACUGGCAUCAGUCUCAUUAAUCUGAAUAGCCAAAGUGCCUAAGCUAGAUCUAGAUGGCCUCAGACAUACAAACAUUAACAAACAUUUCUGCUAAGAGUCAAGCAUAGAAUCAUAGAAUUGCUAAGGUUGGAAAAGACCCACAGGAUCAUCCAGUCCAACCAUUUGUUCACUCAUCACCAAUGGUUCUUGCUAAACUAUGUCCCUCAACACAACAUCCAAACGCUCUUUGAACACCUCCACGGUCGGUGACUCAACCAUCACUCUGGGCAGCCCAUUCCAGUGCCUGACCACCCUUUCAGAGAAGUAGUAUUUCCUAAUGUCCAGCCUGAAUCUUCCCUGGUGCAGCUUGAAGCCAUUAAGCCAUUGAAGCAAUGAUACUUCGUAGUCCAAUAGAUUAUACCCAUUGUUGUUUUAGUGUGAAAUGACUGAGUGCAUUGAGGGGCUUGCACAGUUUUAAGGCAACAACAUGCACAACCAGCCACAGCUUUCAGUUCAAAACAAUCACUGGACAGUUUUCUAAGAUGCAACAUUUGCAGUACCCUUAAUAAGAGUAGCACCUAUGAAUACAUCCUGCACGCAAUCAGAGAGUAUUCUGUGCUGGUUCUGCUGUUUUAGAUGUCAAAUUCAGGUUUCUUACAGAAAACUCUUCUUUCAGUUACAACUAAUACAAUAUAGCAGACUUGACAUGAUGCACACAAUUUUCAAGAACAAAAUAAGUCCUGAGAGUUUUUACACACACUGCUGUAUUUAUGGACAAAACAAUUAAACAUUUCAUUUUAUUGUUAAUGAUAGAUUGCACCAUACAGUAAAGAGAAAAAUAAUGAAUGAAUUCAGAAAAUAGGCCUGAUCUUUCAGUUGAUAGAAAAUUCUUCCCCUUUCCACCAUCAAAUUUAAUUAAAAAAAAAAGUAGUGCAAAUACAGUAGAUACUUCAUAAUCUUCAGUAAUGGCAGGGAAACUCAUCACAACUUGCUGAAUGCUAUGAAUCAUCUCAUGAACACAUAACUGCUACAGACUGUAGAAGGCACUUUAACAAGUAGUUUCAUUCAUUGAUGUCAAUACUUCCUAAUUAGCACAGAGAAGCGUCUGUAGAUUGAACUCUUGAGCAGCACGUUGCUUAGUUAACAGUUUUAUUUAAUAUUUUGGCAAACACUUGAUGUAAUGGGAGACCACAUUAAAAUUUUGUGCCCGUAACAUUUUCAUUUUCUGUUCUCAACACAUCGGCACAAACUAAUGAACUCAGCAGUGUUUGACAAAGCCACAAGCAUAUGCUGACCUGUACUACAUCAGAAAAAAAAAUUUCAAAGCCUUUGUAAAUAGCCACAUUUAAGUUGGAUGAACUGCUUAGCUGUUUUGCUUAAUAAGUGAUAACAAUGAGAAUUACGUGGCCAUACAUGCCUUAGUUCUGCACACUUCAUCCACCCCAGCUAUGCUUAAGCGGGUCACCAUACAUAAGUAAGUGAUGAGCAAUAACAUGAUGGUCAGUGAAAUAAACUGCCUGCAAAUGUGUUCUCACUUUGUACAAGGUGACUUGGUCAUCUGUGAACAUUUGUGGGAUCACCAUGUUCUCUCAGAAGCAAUUUAAAGGUUUAGACAGAAAGCCUUCCUAGAACCUAAAGAAAAACAAGAACAGCCAAAUGUAUUUAUAAACACAGUGGUGGUGGCACUUGGUCACUUCUUACCAGGAUAACUUCCCAUUCACAAGUUCCAAAAAACUCCUCAUGCUCCAGCUCUGAGUUCACCCCAUCCUCCGUGGCUUCCCAGGAAUCCUGGAAUGCAGACCCAUGGACUAAUUUCUACAGGCUGUGCACAAUGACGGAAGUGUACAAGACAAGCUUUGCUAUACUCUAAUAUUCUAAUUAACAAGAGAUCAUUUAAUCAGGUAGCCUAAUACUUCCCUUUUCUUAGAAGCAUGAGAGCUAAUCAUGGGCUCUUAUGUACUGCCUCUCCCUCCCCCCCCCCUCACCAGAUAUGAGCACUAUAAAGCAUCACACCCAGAUAAGUAUUUGAAAUGACACCUUUAUUUACAUCUUUAAUUCUCUUCGUGUUUUGUAUUCAGUGUUCAUAAAAAGAUACUAUAGGAGUGUUUCCAUGCCUAUAAUAUUUGACGUUUCUCCAUUUCAAGCAUAUUCAGGGAUGUAAUUACACUUAACUUUAUCAAUAUAAAAUCCAGGUAUUUAGAAGGAAAUUUACUCAACCCUCACACAACUCAAUCACGCUCUGAUUCUUCAUAGUUAACAUACAUCAUGUCCAAGAAUCCCACCUCUCAUUGCAUAUUGCAUUGUAAUUAUUAUUUUUUUUUUUCCAUUUCAGUAAUCAGAUACAGCAUUUUCCUUAUCAAUUAGUGUAGCCACAGUAAGAGCUAAUUAUCCAAGAAUACUUAUUGUGCCAGGAAUACUGGGGGCACCGUAGGCAGUUGUAUGAAUCACUUCACAUACCUGUGGUUUUCCAGGUUCCUGUGCUUAGUCAUGAGUAUACUCUUCAUUCUCUCGUACACAGAAUAUAAUUUCUGCCAAUUUUUGUUCUUGGCUUCUACACUGCCACCUGUAGUCAUACAAGAGAAAUUAGCCAUAUUUAAUGCUGCAAAUCCUAUUACCGCAACAUUUCAGCUCACUUGCCUUUCCGACACGACCAUUCUAAAGCAUUCCCCUUUGCAGAAAACAAAAGCGUUAAAAUCCUGGAAUUGAGUCAUUUGUCAUGUUCUCUUUACUCAGUUUCAGGAAGGGUGAGAAAUCCCAACGUAACCCAACAGUACAUUUCCAACUCUCCCAGACAAUUAAGAGCUGUACGGAUUUCUAUGUAUCCUUUGUUGCCUUACAGACACCCAAUCACCUCGAGAGAGCGGGGGGGAUUUCUGAAGUGGGAAUACAAACACAACUACACGUAGUUACUCGGUAAAUAUGAAAGUUGAUUUGAUUUGCUCUCCCAUCCGAAAAAUGAGCACAGUUUUACAGAGAUGCAAGCUUCACGCUUGCUUUAGCUGCCUCCACACAGCUUGUAAAGAACGCAUACAACAGAAGCUGAUCACAUCGCAGAGUUGAAGUGAUCUUCAACUUCUUAAAGCAACGAACGACCCUCGAUUCAUUCUGUGGUCACUGCAGUUUGAGCAACACGCCACGGAUUCCGCCGAAUUACACCCCGACACCAAAACCAAAUACACAGUACCCAGAACUCCCACGUUAACCAUUUCCUGAAGAUACGAUAAAACAAAAAAAAAAAAAGAAAGAAAGAAAGAAAGAAACUCAACUCUUCCUGGAAAACAGUGAAGCUUUUAGAACAGGGGUUUCGCUGAAUACCGAAGUUUCGGAACGCAAUCUCCGGGGGAACGCGUGCGCGCGUACUCCCCGUUGUUCCAGCGAAGGAUGGCUCAUACGUUUUCUCUAGAAGCCACCGUGUGCGCACUGCCCAGCGGGGCUCCGGUUGGGAAAACGCUACCAAGUCCUUCACAGACAGAAAGUAACUAACUUAGCUCCCCUCCCCGCGGCCGCGCGUGUGUGAGAAUGCCGCCGCCCGCGGACCUGCGCCCAUCGGGGAGCGCCCCGCACGCAGCGCUACGUCAGCCAAAGAAAGAAGAAAAAAAAAAAAGCCCAUAAUAAUCAGAAAGCCGCAGACUGGAAUAGAAACCGAAAUCAAACGCGAUUUUCCAAGAACGCUCUCGCAAAGCGCAUCUUUAAAGAUGAGAUGCCCGUCAAACGUCUAAAAUUAAAUAAACACGUUGAUUUUAAAUCAAUUAAUAAUGCCAAGCACCGUCGUCGCCUGCCUGUGCUCCAAAGCCUCGUCCCAGGAAAAAUGGCACCCACUGACAUUCAUCAACUCUUGCUGAACGUUGAUGGAGACCAAAUAGUGGAUGUGAGCACAGUGAGUCAGUGGGUGGUGCACUUCAGCAGUUGUGACAGUGACAUGAAGACAAGCCACAUUCCAUAUGGCCAUGCACAGAGGUCACCCCAUGAAAUAAAGAGUGCCUUGGUCAGCUCAUCUGCACAAAUCAUCAGCUUAUGACUACGGAACCGAGAAUAUCAGCUUCAGUGCAUUGGAAACAAUGAUGGCAACACUGGAAAAUUGAAAAUUGUGUGCCAGGUGAGUGCCAUGAAUGCUCACACAAGAACAGAAAGAACAUUGUAUGCAAGUUUUUUUAGGAUGUAUUGAACCAAGAAGAGGCUGAAGGUGACAGUUUCCUGGAUCACAUCAUUGCCAGCAAUGAGAUGUGGUGUCACCACUACCAGACAGAGUCAAAACAGGAGUCCAUGGAGGGGCGACACGUGAAUUCCCCAUUGAAGAAAAACUUCAAGACACAGCCCUGAGAGGGUAAAGUGAUGUGCACUGUCUUUUGGGAUAGGAAAGGGGUGAUUGUUCUGGAUUUCCUGGAACCUGGAUAAACCAUCAACUCUGACUGCUACAUCAUGAUGUUGACUGAGCUGAAGGCUCAAACUUCCCAAGUUAGCCAGAGAAGGAGACAACUUUUCUUUUACAACACAUGACUUCAUACCAGUUUGAAGACCGUGAAGUAUACUGCUGAUCUUGGCUGGACUAUCUGGCCACACUCACAAUAUAGUUUGGAUUUAGUGACUUUUGCCUUCCCUCUGUUUGGGAUGGACUGUAUGGGUAACAUUUUCCUCCCAGCAGUGCCAUCAUAGCAGCUGUGAACCAGUGGGUCACCUGUGUUGGUGCAGAUUUUUAUGAGCCUGGCAAUCAAGCUCUUGUUCAUCUCUGGUGAAAACACAUAGCUAAUGGUGGUGACAUGUUGAAAAGUAGUUCUUUGUAGCUAAGAAUUUGCUCUGUCAAAUAGCAUUACUGUGUUCUUUGUAUCUCUUGCAGUUCCCC